rnacentral:ncRNA from 1 species
UGUCUCCUCCACCCUCCUCCUUUGGUGUGGACUUGGCGCAGCUCUUCGGGCUGCGUUUUUUUUU